rnacentral:rRNA from 1 species
GAUGAACGCUAGCGGCAGGCCAAAUACAUGCAAGUCGAACGAUAGAAGAGGGCUUGCUCUCUUCGAAAAGGGCGCACGGGUGAGUAACGCGUAUGCAACCUACCUUAAUCAGGGGGAUCGCCCGGAGAAAUUCGGAUUAACACCGCAUAACAUCACAGUACAGCAUUGUACAAUGAUGACAUAUUUAUAGGAAUAAGAUGGGCAUGCGUGACAUUAGCAAGUUGGCGGGGUAACAGCACACCAAGGCGACGAUACAUAGGGGAUCUGAGAGGGUGACCCCCCACACUGGUGCUGAGACACGGACCAGACUCCUACGGGAGGCAGCAGUAAGGAAUAUUGGUCAAUGGAGGCAACUCUGAACCAGCCAUGCCGCGUGCAGGAAGACGGCCCUCUGGGUUGUAAACUGCUUUUAUUCGGGAAUAAACCUCAUUACGUGUAAUGAGCUGAAUGUACCGAAGGAAUAAGGAUCGGCUAACUCCGUGCCAGCCGCCGCAGUAA